AUUUUCCUUUCAUAUUCUCUUGGAAAGAAAAGAAGAGGAGAGGAAAGGGGAAAAAAAAAGAUUUUUUCUGUAAGAAAUUUCAGAUGAUGAUGCUUUUGCAAGAAGAGAGCUACAAGGUCUGUUCAGACAUGUUUUAGCGACAAAUCAGUUGGUCACACAUGAAGAGCGUGAACAUUAAUAGUACUUGAGUUGAAGAAAAAAUCCGUGCAUAGUAAAAACUUCAACAGGACAAUUGUUGGGGGUAGCCCAAGGAAAGGACGACACGAGUAAACCAGCUUUGGAUAAGGAAGGAUCAGCGAUUGGGUUCAAGAAAACUUUUCGUUUUCAUGAAGAAAGUACUACUGGUGUGUACUGGAUUAUGAAAGAAUACAGCCUUAACGAAACCAUAAUGGAGGGGUUAAGACAACAUGGAGAAAUCCGACAUGAAGACUCUAUCAUUACGAGGAAGGUUAGUUUGUGUAAAAAUUCUCAGGAUGUCCCCUCGGGAAUCAAGAAUGUAGCUGCCAAUCCAUGGCCGCUAUAUCCCGCUUUAACUGCACUUCCACCAUUUAAUGGACCUUUUGAGUCCUUAACUGAAGAAGAAUUGGCCUUCUUUGAUAAGCCUGAUCUUGGAUAUCCACAAGCAUACAAGAACAAGAAAGAAUGAUAAGAGUAGAAAGUAUGAACCAUGUAGUAUAUAGCACAUUCAAGUAUGAACCAUGUAGUAUAUAGCACAUUCAACUAUAUAAUCUGCUCGUUAUAGUUAGAAUAUUACAGUUGUUUUAGUUAGACUUAAUACAUAGCUAUACAUCUUAACUUGGCCUCCAAUUUUAAGAAUGCAUAUCUAGACACCUCUCGUGGACACCCAACGCUAACGUGGCACAUAAACUUUGGAGGUUUCUAGAUGAUCAUUUUGUAAGUUGGAGUGUUCAAUUGACACAAUGGAGAGGUGUCUAGAUGAUCAUUUUAUAAGUUGAGGUGUAUAGAUAUGCAUUCUCAAAGUUAAAGUGGUUAGUUGCCAGUUGAGGCCAAGUUUACGUAUCUAUCUAUGUGUCAUGCCUUUAGCUACAUUGUACAAACUUCCAGUGCAUGAGUAAAAGUAUGGACUUUAAUUUGUUUUGCAAGAAGUUUGGAGAAAAGAGGCAUACCAUUGCUUUUGUUUUUUAUACCAGGGAUGCUCAAUUGCAUUAUUUCAAACAUUAAUCAUAAAAUAACUAUGUAAGCUUUUACU